rnacentral:rRNA from 1 species
AGUGAACGCUGGCGGUAGGCCUAACACAUGCAAGUCGAACGGCAGCACAGUAAGAGCUUGCUCUUACGGGUGGCGAGUGGCGGACGGGUGAGGAAUACAUCGGAAUCUACUUUUUCGUGGGGGAUAACGUAGGGAAACUUACGCUAAUACCGCAUACGACCUACGGGUGAAAGCAGGGGAUCUUCGGACCUUGCGCGAUUGAAUGAGCCGAUGUCGGAUUAGCUAGUUGGCGGGGUAAAGGCCCACCAAGGCGACGAUCCGUAGCUGGUCUGAGAGGAUGAUCAGCCACACUGGAACUGAGAAACGGUCCAGACUCCUACGGGAGGCAGAAGUGGGGAAUAUUGGACAAUGGGCGCAAGCCUGAUCCAGCCAUACCGCGUGGGUGAAGAAGGCCUUCGGGUUGUAAAGCCCUUUUGUUGGGAAAGAAAAGCAGCAGGUUAAUACCCCGCUGUUCUGACGGUACCCAAAGAAUAAGCACCGGCUAACUUCGU